GACGAACGCUGGCGGCGUGCUUAACACAUGCAAGUCGAACGAAGUUAAGGGGCUUGCCCCUUAUCUUAGUGGCCGACGGGUGAGUAACGCGUGAGCAACCUGCCCAUAUCUGGGGAAUAACACAAAGAAAUUUGUGCUAAUACCGCAUAUUGUUUUUAGAAGUCAUCUUCUCUAAAUGAAAUAUUUUAUCGGAUAUGGAUGGGCACGCAUCCCAUUAGAUAGUUGGUGAGGUAACGGCCCACCAAGUCGACGACGGGUAGCCGACCUGAGAGGGUGAUCGGCCACAUUGGAACUGAGAAACGGUCCAGACUCCUACGGGAGGCAGCAGUGGGGAAUAUUGGGCAAUGGAGGCAACUCUGACCCAGCAACGCCGCGUGAAUGAUGAAGGUCUUCGGAUUGUAAAGUUCUGUGAAGAGGGAAGAAGAAAGUGACAGUACCUCUAGAGCAAGUCACGGCUAACUACGUGCCAGCCGCCGCAGUAAUAC
rnacentral:rRNA from 1 species